rnacentral:rRNA from 1 species
AACGAGCGCUGGCGGCAGGCUUAACACAUGCAAGUCGAACGGGUGUAGCAAUACAUCAGUGGCAGACGGGUGAGUAACACGUGGGAACCUUCCUAGGGGUACGGAACAACUCAGGGAAACUUGAGCUAAUACCGUAUACGUCCGUGAGGAGAAAGAUUUAUCGCCCUUAGACGGGCCCGCGUCGGAUUAGGUAGUUGGUGGGGUAACGGCCUACCAAGCCUACGAUCCGUAGCUGAUCUUAGAGGAUGAUCAGCCACACUGGGACUGAGACACGGCCCAGACUCCUACGGGAGGCAGCAGUGGGGAAUCUUGGACAAUGGGCGCAAGCCUGAUCCAGCCAUGCCGCGUGAGUGAAGAAGGCCUUAGGGUUGUAAAGCUCUUUUACCAGGGACGAUAAUGACGGUACCUGGAGAAUAAGCCCCGGCAAACUUCGUGCCAGCCGCCGCGGUAA